AACAUUGAGCUAACCCUAACUUACACCCUAGUCUCUCGAGCUCCAUCCAUCCUCCGCACAAGUGAAUAGCUUCUUCCUAUCUCCGUCCACAGUCUCUCCGUCCACGCUCUCUCACCGUCCACGAGCUUCUUUCACUGCUGCCGUCACCGCUCGCGUCGCACAAUCUCAUCACUGACCUCAGCAACGGCCAUUCGCUGGUUAUCCUCAUCCACCGGUUCAGGAAUCACUGCACUCAUUUUUCAGGGAAGAUCUCUGCCUCUGGUGGUCGUGGAGGUAGUCGCGUCAUCGUCGUUCUCACCGCUCUGGGCCCAUCCACCUCCUUCAUGCACGGUGUCAUCUCCCUUCAACUUUGCGACGGCGCCGUUGGCUGUCGCCCAGCCAACCACAACCUUUGUAAAUGAGUAAGGUAGCUUUGGCGGUGGGCGAUUCAACCCCUCCGCUGCUACUCUGCCGCCCUGGAUGGCAACUUCCUCCUCAGCUCGGCCCGAGCCGUUUCCUCCAAAUGCGCCAAAUGUAGAUCCAGGUGUUCUUCUCUUGUGUGUUCUGGAAUGAGAGGUAAUUUUGAUUGCAGUUUUGGAAUUGAAUUUUGGAAUCCUGCUCGAACUGAAAUUGCUCUUGAUUAUACUGGUUGAAAUUCAAAAUUGAAAGCUAAUUCUUCUUCUUCAGCCAAAUCUGUUGCUUCUUCUUCGUUUUCUGCAUAAAUAGACAAAGAUGAAUGCUGAAUUAUUGCUCGAUCUGCCAGCUCUGUUGAUUUUGUUUGUUGUUGAGGUUAAAAUAUAAAAUUGAAAUCUGAUGAGUCUCCUUCUUCUCCUUUGAUGUGAACUUCUUCUCUUUGCUGAAUUGUUGCUGAGUAGUGAAAAUUCUGCAUUUGAUUUGGCCUGAAUCUGGAAAAUUGGAGGCUCCUGGAGUCGUUGAUGAUCGUUGAUUUGGCUGUGGUUACUGUUCUAAGGUCGUAUAAUGAGACUACAUUUUUGGUUAGUCAAUAUUAUCCCAUCACCAUCUUCAAUUAAGCUCUGUCAUAUAAGCUCUAGCCCUGUUAUUGUUUCUAGACUAGUAUGAUUUUCCCUUUAAUUCAUGAAAUAGGUUGAAUUUGGAUCCUCUAAAUCUUAAAUUUGUACUUUAGAGGAUCCAAAUCCAAACAGAUUUGGGAAGGACAUGAAUUUCAGUACCAAGAUGAACUUGCCAAAUUGGUGGUGUCUCUAGAACGUUUCUUUAGGUUCGAUGUGCCGGCUCAGACUUCAAGAGAUACCAAAGAGACCUUGCUCAAAAUCAUAAGGAUACUUAGUGUUGUUAGGAAGCUGCCCUUAGCUAGAACUGAAAGCGCAACCGGUUCGGCUUCUAACUUGGAUUCUAUGCCUCUGGAAUCAAAUGUGUGUGGCACUCUACCACUGCAGCUGAAUGAUGAAAAGGAGAGGGAACUUGAUUCUACUGAGGAAUCCGCCGAAUUAGAGCACCUUGCUAAGCCAAUCUUGGAAGAUAUUGCCAGCCUUGUGCAGAAGGGUAGCCAAGGAAAAAUGAUUCUGUUUAGCUGAGCUUUUGAACACGAGCAGUGGAAUAAUGUUCAUAGCCACUGAACUUAAAAACUGAUUUAACAAGAAGAAAGCUAAGGGACUUCUGUUUUGCAGAGGCAGAAAUACAUAAAGGGCAUCAAGACUUGCAAAGCAAGCAUGAAGGAAGUGGGAGACUGAGAAGCAGCAUUGAGUUUUUUGGCAGUAGAAUGGACUUUACAGAUAGUGAUUCCAUUGUAUUCAAUGAAAAUAAUUUGAUUGCUGAAGAUAUCUCUAAACUAGAAGAUGCGUUUAAGCAGCUACUGUCAUUUUUCAGCUCUGAUGAAGAGGUUGUCAAGCUUGCAAAUGACUCAAGAUAUGGGCUUGGCUGUACUGUUUUCUCAGGCAAUCAGAGCCAUGCCAGAGAGAUAGCUUCGUAGGUAGAUACAUUGUGGCUUUGCUGCUAUUAAUGAUUUUGGAGCAACAUAUAUGUGUCAGUCCCUCUCAUUUGGGGGUGUCAAACACAGUGGAUUUGGACGAUUUGGUGGUGCAGAAGGUUUGUGAGCAUGCUGCCUUGUAAAAGCUGUUGUUGAAGAUAGAUUGUUGCCAUACAUAAAAACCGUGAUUCCUAAGCCUAUUCAGUAUCCUGUAGCAGAAAAUGCCUUUGAAUUUCAGGAGUCACUAGUUGAAGCACUAUAUGGUCUCAGCAUAUGGGACCGUUUGAAAGCAUUGGUAAGUGUUUUAAAAGUACUUACUGAGCAGAAUUCUACCAACAGCAGUAAGUUGAAAUGACUAAUCAUACCUUUGCAUCUAACACACCAAAUUGUUUCAAUUUUGAAGUCCCAGCAGUUGACCAAUACAUUAUCAUGAAAAAUAGCUUAUCAGACCCAUUAAGGUUCAAACAAAUGCUUAGAGAUAAUUAAACAACUUUUUCAUGCAUAGAUUUGAUUGAUGAGAAAAUCAAAGGAUACAAAGCAGCCAAAGCUCACAUGCAAAACACCAUCUUCACCCAAACAAUCUUUUCCAAGAAGUUAGAAAAGUUGGAACAGGCAAUUGGAAAGGCCAAGAAGGAAAAGUUGAAACAGAAGAGAUAGAAUGAGGCUUAUGAGAAGGUUAGAGUGUCAAGUAGUUCUAGUGUAGUUCUACUACCACCGCCACCGCCGCCACCCUCAAUGUCUUCAGAUGAGGACUAUGAUGAUGAUGUGGAUGAAGAUGACACUGAAGACUAUAGCUGAUAGUUUUUGUAUGGUUGAACAAUAUACUAGGAAUUAUAGUUGAUGAUCAAUACACUUUGUUUAUGUUUUGAAUUAUAUUGAUUUGCUUGUUUAUAGUACUUUUCUUUUUAGUUUGAUAAUACGAUAAAUUUGUUUAUUU